rnacentral:rRNA from 1 species
UACGGGGGGGGCAAGCGUUGUUCGGAAUUACUGGGCGUAAAAGGGCUCGUAGGCGGCCAACUAAGUCAGACGUGAAAUCCCUCGGCUUAACCGGGGAACUGCAUCUGAUACUGGAUGGCUUGAGUUCGGGAGAGGGAUGCGGAAUUCCAGGUGUAGCGGUGAAAUUCGUAGAUAUCGGGAGGAACACCAGUGGCGAAGGCGGCGAUCUGGGAAGAUACUGACGCUGAGGUGCGAAAGCGUGGGGAGCAAACAGGG